UUUAUCUAGGGAUCUUUCCAAGUGACAGUACGUGGUAAUAAGCUUGCACUGUUUGUACGUUUCCACCCCUUCUAAACAAACCCAUGUGGCAUCUUUAAGGAAGUUAAAAUAGAAUGAGUCGUGUUCACGCAACACAAUGCGAAUCUUCCCUGAUCUUUUUUCUUGGUAUUUGUGCCGAAUACAUGCGCCAUAUCUUGUACCAUCAAUGAUGAUUAGGAAUGAGCAGUGGAAGAGGAAUUUCUCUUUUUAUUGCGCAGCUUUCCAGGAAACGUGUGCACACACUUGGUGCCCUGCAUUCCAUAUUCCUUGCUCGAACAGAUGGCUUCAAGAUGCGGUUCAGGAUCCAGAACUGCUAACCACUGAGGCGACCACUGAGGCGACCACUGAGGCUACAACGACACCCCAAGAAACGGAAAGCUCAAAGAAACAAGAACCACCGAAAGAAGGACCAGGAAAAGAAGAAGGUGAAGGACACGAUGUUUCGCACGCUAUAGACUAUGGAAACGCGGGGUUUUAUCUCGGCUGCCGUGAUGCUAGCGGCAAAGCUUACGAAAACGGAAAGGGUUGUGUGCAUUACAUGU
rnacentral:lncRNA from 1 species